rnacentral:rRNA from 1 species
GACGAACGCUGGCGGCGUGCCUAAUACAUGCAAGUCGAACGCAGUGGGGACGGGUGAGUAACACGUGGGUAACCUCCCAUCAGAGGGGAUAACACUUGGAAACAGGUGCUAAACCGAUCCUGAUGGAUGGACCCGCGGUGCAUUAGCUAGUUGGUGAGGUAACGGCUCACCAAGGCCACGAUGCAUAGCCGCCCGGAGAGGGUGAUAGGCCACCCGGGCACUGAGACACGGCCCAGACGCCUACGUGAGGCAGCAGUAGGGAAUCUUCGGCAAUGGACGAAAGUCUGACCGAGAACCGCCGCGUGAGUGAAGAAGGUGUUCGGAUCGUAAAACGCGGUUGUCAGAGAAGCGGUAUCUAACCAGAAAGCCACGGCUAACUACGUGCCAGCCGCCGCGGUAAUUC